UUUAGAAUUUAAAUAUACAUCAAAAUUAAACCAUUUAAUCAAAAUUUAAAUUCCAAAACUUGAGGGCAAGUUUUGAAACCUUUUUCAAAACAUUAGGGUUUUAACUAUUUAAAUUUCAAAACAACAAAACUUUUGGGUUCAAAUUUAAACUAUAAAACCUAAAGGGCAAAAUAUGAAACUUUUCAUAACAACAAGGAUCAAAUAACAAAUAAUUCAAAUUAACAUUUAAUCACAUAAUUAUCCAUAUUUGAUUUAUUUAAUGAUUUCUUGCAAAACAAUUUAUCAAUUUACUCAAAAUAAUUAAUCAAUUAUCUUAUAAGGAAACAAUUAUCUUAUUAAUUGAUAAAUAUCUUCAAUUAGAUCAAAAAUAUAGUCAAAUAUAUCAUAUAAUCGGAUUAAUAUUGAUCUAACAUGAUAAGGUAACUAUCCAUAAGCAAAAACAGCAAGAAAUCCCGAAGUACCCUCCAUCUGACGAGCCGACUCGUCGAGUCAGGCUUGGACUCGUCGAGUCACCUUGGACUCGGCGAGUUCAUCUAUGGACUCGGCGAGUCCAGCCUCCAGAAACACAAAAUUCGAAAUUUUCAAACAUAUCAAGCAUCAAUACAAUAGAAACCAAUCUAGGCUCUGAUACCACUGAUGGGUUUUGGUCAUAAGACAUCCUAUGUGCUCAUACAAACCCUAAUGCUUGGAUCUAGGUUUCUCUAUUGUACAUGCUUUGAAUCCAAGACUAUAAACCCUAAUUCUAGCAUAUGGAAAUCAAUAUUAACAUAUAAUUAGGUUUAUGAUAUUACCUUGAUUGUUAUGUAGCAAUAACAAUCCCAAUUCCUCCUUGAAUUGACUUUGGAAGGCUUAGAGUCACAAGUGUCACUCCUCUAAUGGCUUACAAACACCAAGAGCAAAUGGAGAAGGUAUAAAGAGAGAGGAGAGAGGUAGGAAUUCGUCCUUAGGACUUCUUGGGAAGGCUUAGACGAAUUCAUGAGCCUUAGGGGGUUUAUAUAGGUGUAAAGAUUAGGGUUUUAGUCCUUAUCCUUAUCUAGUUGCUUGUCCACCAAGCAACCAUAAGAUAAGUCCUAGAAACCCUUAUCCUAGUCGAAUUCUAAGGGAUUUUCACCUCAAAUUCGUUCACCAUAUAUAUAAGAUAAUCCUUACCUUAUUUUGUAACUAUCACAUAAUUACAAUUCAGCCCCUCUAGUUUAAUUAAUUACACUUGAUCACAAAAUUAAUUCAUAAUUAAUUAUUGACCAAUAUUAAUUAAACAAAUAUGAUUUCUCCUUUAAUAUAUUAUUCUUAUAACAUAUUAAUAAAUCAUAAUAACCUCUCUCUCUAUUUAUUUCUCCAAUCAAGUUGUUUUGGUGAAGGCAACCCAAAAGGAUCAUGCACCAUUGGGUCAAGUACAUACCAAAAUAGUUAUGGACUUAGACACUAAUCCAACAUUUAUAAUUAGAGUUGGCAAUGGUUCGACCUGAAUUGGGUUCGGGUUCUACCUAUUUAUUUAAGUGGGUCGAAUAUUUCAACCAAACCCAACCUCUUUAUUUAAGUGGGUUGAUAUUUACAACACAACCCAACCUUUCAAAUAAAUGAGUUGUCAUCAUGUUGACAUGUUUAUGUAUUUCUCAAUCCACCAAUUAAAUAAAUGAGUUAAACAUUGGUUAAUUCGUUUAAAAAAAAGGUAGAUAAAUUAACUAAAGAUUACAUUAUUUAAAUUAGUUGCAAAUUUAAAUAAAAUUUCACAAGUAUAACAAAAACACAGUUUCAAUUCACAAAUACAAAUAAAUGUUCAAAUAACAUUAAACAUAUUUAAUUUCAAAGUGAUUUUAGAGAGUAGUUAGUAUUGUCUGAGCCAAGUAAAAUGACAAGAAUUAGGAUUGCAUUUUUUUUAAAACAUGAAUAAUAUAACUAAAGUUCUACAUAACAUAAGGUGUGACUUGACGACAAUGUCAAACCUCAAGUUGUUUUGAGUCGUGUCGAACUACGUCGUUUGUAAAGUGUAACUUAAGACGACAAUUUUGUAUAUAAUUAAUAAUUUUUUAUAUAUUUUCUAUUAUUAUUCAUUUAUAUAUACAUAUGUGACUUAAAUCAGUAUUUUGUCAAAGUUUGACGGUAAAUACAAGCCUUAAAGUCAUGGCGCUCUUUUUAGAACGUUAAUAAUAACAAAACAUUAUAAUUUAUAAAUUAAUAUUUUAAUUAAUACAUUAUAAUAUUCAAAUAACGAANNNNNNNNNNNNNNNNNNNNNNNNNNNNNNNNNNNNNNNNNNNNNNNNNNNNNNUAUAUAUAUAUAUAAAAGUUAAAUGGAUUAGUGGGUUGAAAACAAAUUGAUAAUCUACCAAACUCAACCUAUUUAAUUAAAUGGGUUAAUGUGGAUUAACUCAUUUAACUUAAAUAUAUUGAAAAUCUCAACCCACCUACUAAUAGCGGCACCAACAACCUCUAAUAUUUAUACUAUAUAGUACAAAAAAUUUCGAUUUUUUUGUUUUUUCUACUAAUGUCCAACUACUUAAAAAAAAUAUGUCACUAUGUAAAUAAAAUGUGUCGUCAACAACACCUCUUAUGAAAUUUUACGUCGGCCUCUGUGAAGAACCCGCCAAAUACACAAUCAGUGGUACCAACGGCAGUACCGCUACCUAUCCUCUUCGAUCCACCAUCGAGACCCUCCACCCUAAGGCUCCAUUUAUUAUCUAGGACACGAAAAAUGACCGUUUUGUAUUGUGUUUCUAUGCAAUAGACUUGUGACAUGUAUCAAUGUUAGUGAAACUAAUUUUGUCCCUUUAAAAGAUGCAGAACCAUGUCAAACACAUAGUUAGAUAGAUACGGGUGUUAAUACGACAGAAAUACAACCCCUUUGCCAUUUCAAAAUGGUGAAACAAUGUGGCUUUUAAAUCAAUUUCAAUUCCAAAAAAAAAACAAAAAACAAAAUUCGCUAGCUAUUGCUAUAUACACCAAAUAACUCGAUGCCAACUUCAUGCAUAUCAAGGCCCUGCGAAGAAUGAAUUACCAGUUUCUCCAUCUAAAUUAGGGCCAGGAAUCAGGAUACCAUCCAUCUAUAGUUUUUCAAAGAAUGAAUCAACAACACACAAGUUUACUACAUAUUUACACAACAAUCUAUGCAAGAUUACCAAAGCCAUAUUUGCAGGUGAAAUCAAUGGGUUGAAUUGUGCAUUUGUGUUCUCGCUUUUUGAGUUGAGUUGUUGUGCAUUUGUGUUCUCUCUUUCAAAAUCGUCAAACCCAUAUACCUGCAUAUUCAGCACAACAAUCGUCACACAAAUUCAACGCAAAGAAACCUUGAAGAUCGCUAAAAGAGAAAUUACUCAAAUUACCUGCCAAGCAUCAACACAGUAGCCUGUGGAUUGGUCCCCGGUGAGACUGUAAAAGUGGAACCAUCCACCACGCGAAGAGAAUGAACGCCGGCGACCCUCAAAUUGUGAUCCACCACUCUUCCGACGACGCAUCCGCCGUGGUAAUGCCAUAUUGUGCUCACAGUCCGGCGACAGAAGUCACGCAUCAGAAUGUUACUCGAUUGGUCAAUCGGCAAUGCAGGACCCACAAAUCUGAAAUCCGUACCGGACCAUUCCCAGAACUUGAAAUCAUCCAUGGCUCGGCUUCUAAGCAAGGCUCCGAUCUUUCGAGUUCCGUUCACACAUCUUUCUAGAUCCACCGGAUUACUGAAGUAGUUAAAUCGCACAAUAGGGUUGGUUCUCACGUCUGUGGACGCCAAUCGAAGUGUCCCAGAAGAGUGUGGUCCGAUAAUCUUCUCCAUGAUGCUAGCAACAGUAAGAUACAAGGGGGAAGAAGUCGGUCGGAGGAAAACGGAGUAUGCAGGUGAAGAAAAAGGGAGAACAUUGGAUGCUGCUUCAACAUAAGCACCGGAAUCGGUGAUGCCCACAACCUGUAUGAGAGAUUGCUCCAGUGGAACCGGCGACACGAUCGAUAUUCCGUUGCGUGGAUUAUCAUACAUAUAAUUUCCGACGUAUGGAGAAUGACGUACGACGGGUAUCCCCCAAGAAGAAAGAUAAGGGCGUGGGCCAAUGCCGCUCAGGAGAAGCAGCUGCGGGCUGCCAAUGGCGCCGGUGCAGAGAAUGACCUCUCCGUUAUUCCGUAACAUUGCAUGAUGAUAGCCGCCGAUCAGAUCAUGAAACACAACUCCUAUAGCAUUCUGUCUGGACAACAAAGAAUAUGAAGGAGCGAACAAAACCCUCUCCACGGUGGCAUAGAUCGCCACCUUGAUAUUGGAUGAAUUAGCCAUGUUUAAAAGAUCAGCGGCGCUGUGUCGAUGGCCGGAGCUGUCAAACGUCGAGCCACCAAUCUUGGUACCUAAAGUGUGAUUUAAAGUAUAACCAUUAUAAGGUUCGAUACCGGAUUCAAUUAAUCCGUCACGGAUGGCUGUUUGCCAUGUCUGUAACUGCGGAUGGAACACGAUAGCUUUCUCAACCCAUUCGUAAGAUCGCUGCACCACAUGCGUAUCCCAAUUGAUCCCGGAUCUUUUGUAGAAAUCUUCAUCUGCUCGGCUGUAAAAUCCGGCAUUAAUGGCGCUGCUGCCGCCAAGAACGCGGCCACGGGCGUUGGGGACGCCGUCCUCGGAAGUGAACGCCUGAGCAGGAGAGUCAAAUUGAUCAAAGUUAGUGAGUGUAGGGAGGAAACCCUCACGAGUCAUGAGGUUAGCGUUCGCGAAAGGAAGACCGCCUCUUUCAAGAAGAAGAACACGGUAGGUUUUUGAUAACGUCGCUGCCAGUGGGCAACCGGCGGUGCCGCCGCCGACUAUUAUGUAGUCGUAUGUGUCCUCCAGAGGAAGCUGCGUUGCAUUAACUACGAACUUCAUAUAAUCUGUACCUGAUAUUCAAAGCAAGGAUUCAAAAAGUUAGAUUAAUUCAAAAUGAUUGCAGAAAGAUCUUGAAAACAAUUGCAAAUCUGUAGUUACUUUGUUGGUUGGAUUGCGCUAGCGCGAUACUUAAUAGACCGACUAGAUUGAUAAGAAUGGUUAGUGGGGGAAUUAGGGUUCUGAUUGACGUCAUUUUUUGGAGGCUAUGAGGUUUUCAUGGGGGUUCUUGAAAGAGAAUGGAAACUCAUGACAAUGGUUUCGUGAAAUUGAGAAUAAAUCGAAUUAAAUUGAUCAUCAAAAUGUCUGUGACCUUCUUCAAAAGGAUUUGCAGAGCAGGAAGAAGAUGUUGGAAUCAGAGAAGACGGAGAGGAGAGGAGGAAGAGCAGGUUUUGAAUCGGAGAAGACGGGCAGUAAAACUUGUUUGGUAAUUGGUGGGAAAUCUACACGUUACUCAUGCCGUUAAUUUUGUGUGUUUAUUUGUUUUAAUGAAACGGUUAGUGACGCCGUUAAUUAUUCUUUUUCACUUCACUACGAGCAAUACCACUAACCUUUUUUCUUUAAUAUUUUCGGCCAAAAAAAAAGAUACAUAAAUAAUUUGUUAGAAGUACAAUAUCUGCCUCACUGCGUGCAAUCUUGGAUUGUGCAUGUAUCUUCGUGUGUUUUUAGCUCACUUUAAUUUCCAAGAAAUUAAGAUAAAAUGGAUAAUGAAUUAAAAGUGUAAUGUAUUUUUCGAUUUGUAUAUAUUUGUGUAUUGAGUUUUUUUCGUCUAUAUUUACCCAUUUUACUUGUUAAACUGUAAACAUUUAGUCUUUAUAACCGGUUAUAUCAGGUUAGUCGGAAAAAAUGACUUAACAAGGUAAUAUAUUUUUCAUUUUGUAUACAUUUAGUCCUUAAUAUUUUUGUAUAUAUUUAGCCCUUAACAUUUUUUUGUUUCAAAAUAAGUCCUUUUUUGUACUUAUGAAUGAUAUAUUUAAGUUUUUCUCACGACAUCUUACGUGGGACAAAACUUAAUGAGAUGUUUGGGGUUGUUAAUGCUUAUGUCCAACGCGAAUUCGACUGAUUGGUUGCGUAGGUCUUGUGGUUUGGCUUAGGUCUUGUAUUUUGAAUGUCGUAACUUCUUUAUACGACAUCAGAUUAUUUUAACGAUAUUUAUAUCCAUGUGUUCAUUUUUUCUUUAAGAUUACUCCAGUUAAAAUGUAAUAUAUUUUUAUUUACGAUUUUAUAAAAAAAACCAUCCAUACAUGCAUUCAUAAAAAACGUAUGGACAGAGGAUGAUGCAAGAAUACAUAGUAGGUGCUACCGAGAUAAAAUAGACAUUGCAGAUACAUGAAAAAUAGGUAUAAACGGAAAAAAAAAUCAAUUUUUUUUCCACUGCGAACAGAAAAAACAGGUGUUGUCGGUAUAACACCGGGACCAGGCUAAAUCCGCCCUGCGUAUGCAUAUAAAAAUCAUAAGUAAAAAUAUUUUUUUAAUGGAGUAAUCUAAAUGAAAGUUGUAGUAGACUAAAAUAUGAACACAUGGAUAUAAAGAUCGUUCGCAUGGAUAUAAAGAUCGUUAAAAUCCGAGUUCGUAUGAAAAAGUUAUGACGUUCAGAACACAUGACUUAAGCAACUAAGUAGGCGAGAUCGUGAUGGACAUAAGCAUCAAAAGGCCCAAACACUUCAUUAAUGAAUGUCCAAUGUAAGAUUUCGAGAGAAAAACCUAAAGAAAUCAUUCAUAAGUAUUGAACGAGUACAAAAACAAAAAUGACAUAUUUUACAAUAUAUAUAUAUAUAUAUAUAUAUUAAGGACUAAAUGUGUACAAAGUGAGAAAUAUAUUACCCUAUUAAGUCAUUUUUACCGGCUAACCUAGAUUACCCGGUCAUAAGGAUUGAUUGUGUACAGUUUAACAAGUUGAAGGAGUAAAUAUGGACGAAAAAAACUCAAUGACCAAAUGUGUACAAAUCAAAAAAUACAUUACCAUUUUAAGUCAGUAUCCCGUUUAAUAAUUCAUAGUCAGACCCGACCUAGACGGUAGGCAAAACGGGAACAAAAUUCCUAGAGCACCUAGGUGUGAAUACAAAUGAUCUCCUUACUGAUAACCUGGAAGGAGACAACUUGAAGGCACAGCCAAAAAGUGCUCUUAUAGCUGGUAAGAAAAAGUUGGUGUUCAAGAUGAAAGAAAACAUGUAUGGCAUGAAGCAAACUUCUAAGCAGUGGUACUUAAAGUUUGAUAACUUCCUGAAGAGGAGCGGGUUUAGGAGACGUGAGGUUGAUCACGGUUGUUACCUAUAAAUUAAGUUCCUCAUAUAUGAUCCUCGUGUUAACUAUUGAUGGUGUGUUGAUUGCUGGUUCCAACACGUAAAAGAUUAAUGAGCUUAAGAUGCGGCUGACUAGAGAGUUCAAGACUAUGAACCAAUGGGCUACUAAGCUAAAGAAAGUCCUUAAUAUGGAGAACUCAACAGAUAAAUGUACUAAGGUGUUUACCACUGAAAAGUUGAAGCUAGGUACGCCUUCAACUGCCCUUCCAAGAUUUUGAGGAUGGGGGUUGGCAUAGAGAGAGAGAGGGCGAGAAUGAAAGAGAAAGAGAGAGAUUUAGAAGAAUGAUGAAGACUUUGAAUGACAGAUGAAACUGUUCAAGCCUUCAAGUAGGAGAUUGUUGGGGUAUAAAGUAUUGUCCAACAUGGAGCACUUGGUGAUGGGUUUUAUGCAUAAGAACAAUCCUAUGUGCUCAUACAAACCCUAAUGCUUGGAUCUAGGUUUCUCUAUUAUACAUGCAAUGAAUCCAAGACUUGCAAACCCUAAUCUAGCGUACAUAAUUUCGAAAUUAGCUAAUUACAUCAGAUCUAGAUGUUUACCUCUUCAAAUAGUAGCUUGAAUCUUCUUCUCUUGAGCUUAGAGUCACAAUUGUAACCCCUCUAGUGGAUCACAAACACCAGAGGCAACAAAGCAACUUUGAAAGAGUAAGGAGGAUGCUAAUUUUUGGCCCUAGGGUUUCUCUUGGAAGCAAGUGGCCGAAAAUUGGAGCCUUGGGGUUUUAUUUAUAGUGCAGGCUUCUAGGGUUUCACUCUAAACCCUAAUGGAUAACUUACACCAAGCAGCCCAAGGAACCUUCUGGAAUAAGGCCCUUGGACGAAAAUAUGAUGAUCUUUCAUCAUAAUUUUGUUCCCCCUUAGUCCAUUUGGUUUCCCAGCCCAAAACUCAACUAUUACACAUUUGACAGUUUAUGCCCAUUUAUUUAAUUAAUCUCUUUUAGUCACCAAAUUAAUUCCUAAUUAAUUUAUGACCAAUACUAAUUAAAUAAAUAUGAUUUCUCCUUUAAUAUAUUGUUAUUAUAAUAUAUUAAUAAAUCAUAAUAUCCUCUCUCUUUCCUCAAAUUACCUAGUCAAGUUGCUUUGGUGAAGGCAACCCAAAAGGACCAUGCACAACCGGGUCAAGUACAAACCAAAUAUAGUUACGAACUUAGACAUUAAUCUAACAGUCUCCCAUUUGGAUAAGUCUAGUAACUAUAUCGCAUAUAUGACUUCAUGAUCCGAUCAGCAAUCGUAGCUCUUAUACGCUUCUGUCAACUCUGAUCAAAACUAGUCCUUCAGAUAAGGGAUCGUACAAUCCUCUGUUCUAUAUAUCAUGUUGUCAAUACUUAUUGUCCAGCAUUUGUUUCUCGAUCUCUGAUUUGUUCGACAUAGAAUUUAGUUGAACUCAUCAACUUCAUCCUGACCGGGCCCGACACAUAACUCAAACCAAAUCACCGAGUGGCCAGAUAUCGCUCUUACCCUCUUAUGAUAAAAGGAACAGAAAAACUUUGACUUAUAUGCUUUUAUCACUCACUAGCUAAGUCACACACAACAAUGUGUUUUAUAACAUCAAGUUACUGAUGCGUUUUCACAUUAUCAAUGCACAAUCAGCUAGCAAACAAUAACCAUAUCUCUAGGUUUAAAGAUCAUAUGAUAUUAUCAUCUUGCGAUCACUCGUUAUAAAAGUAGUGAUACCAGCAAGCGCGGGUUUAUUCCAAUGCUCAAAUCAUAUUCAUAAGAACUCAUGAACUUUGUAGCAAACCUUUGUUAUGUGCAAAACUUUUUAGACAAUCUACAAACAAAUUCAUGACAGUCUUCAUUCACAUCUACUUCCAAAAUAUGAACGACUGUGGACUGUUCGAAUAAUCUUAUUAUUCAGAAAGUCAAAACAUGCAAAAUUGAAACAAUAGAUAAAUAACCAACACAAGAUAUUAGCUUUACUCAUAAAUAACACAACUUUAUUUAUUCAUCAAAUGUCAAAUACAAAUUAUCUAUUACUCGUUUCUUAUCUAUCUAAUCUAAACUCAUAUCGUCCUUCAGCCCAAUGCUCCUAGCGUGCUGCAAGUGUUUGACCCUACUCAGUCCCUUCGUAAGGGGAUCUGCUGGGUUUUCUUUUGACAAUACCCUCUUUAUAACGAGGAGGCCCUCUUCUACCCAAUGUCUGAUAAAGUGGUAUUUUUUGUCGAUAUGUCAAGAUCUGCCAUGAUCUCUCAGUUCCUUGGUUAAGGCAAUCGCUCCUUCAUUAUCACAGAAAAUUACCAUUGGCUCCUUUAUGGAUGGCACAACUCCAAGGUCUCUAAUGAAGUUCUUCAACCAUAUAGCCUCCUUUGACGCUUCACUUGCCGCAAUGUACUCUGAUUCGCACGUUGAAUCAGUUACAGUCUCCUACUUGGAACUUUUCCAAGUUACUACUCCUCCAUUUAGGGUAAAGAACCAACCUGACUGCGAUCGGUAAUUAUCCCGAUCCGUCUGAAAACUAGCAUCACUGUACCCUUGUACCCUUAAUGUUGGAUUAAUGUCUAAGUCCAUAACUAUAAUUGGUAAGACUUGACCCGACCCGACAUGGUCCAUUUGGGUUGCAUACCAUCAUGCACUUGGAUAGACUAUAAUGAGAGAAAUAAGACACUUAUGGUUAUUAAUAUAUUAUAAGUUCUAGUAUAUUAAUAAUAAGAAUAAUAAGAUUAUUUAAUUAGUAUUGAUCAAGAAUUAAUCUAGGAUUAAUUAAGUGAUCAAAAGAAGACUAAUUAAAUAUAUGGGUUGAUUGUGUAAAUCAUCCAUACUUUUAUAGUGGGCUAAUGCUCCAUGGAUAAUCAAGUUGGGCUAAAACCCACAGGAUGGUCCAUGGAUGCUCCAUGGUGUAUUUGUACCCAUGGAUCAUGGAAAUGAAAGGCCAUGUCAAUUAGGGUUUACAUGGUGUAACCCUAACUAUAUAAGCAUCUUAUUCUUGACCAAAAUCGGCCACUAGUGUGUGAAGAAAAAGGGCUAGCCGAUUUCAUGAGUUGUAGAAUUCUCUCAAGUUAUUCUAAGUGUUUUGGUGAUUGUGAUUCCAUUUGAGGUGUCACACUUGGGGCACUAGGCACUCAAGCUUCAUGAAGACUUUCUACACCAAAGAGGUAUGUAUUCUAUCUUGCUAUAGUCAUUGUUUUGUAUGCUAGAUUAGGAUAAUACCUUGGAAGUUCUUAUUUGCAUGUAUAAUAGAGAAAACAUAGAUCCAAGGUAUUUAGGGUUGCAUGUACACUUAGGAGUGUUAGAAUGCUCAAAACCCAACAGUGGUAUCAGAGCCUAGGCUUGUUUUCUUGUUAUACCUGCAAUAGAAGCUGAAAAAACGAAUUUGGUGCUGUCUGAUCAUCAGACUCGGCGAGUCCAUCAGAGGACUCGGCGAGUCCAUGCCUAAAAUGUGAUCAAUUCGAUCCAACUCGCCGAGUUGGUUCAUGCACUCGACGAGUUGGACCCCCAGACAGCAUAUUUUCGAGUUUUUUGGCUAGAAAUGGACUAGGAACAUUACCCUAAGUUGUUUUUGAACUUAUAAACUUGUUUUUGAUGUGGUAAUGUUCAUGCUAAUCCAUUUUCAAAGAUAAUUGUCAAUAGAUUCAUGUUUUGUAUUAGUUUAAGGUUUAGACUAAUUACAUGAAAAAGUUUGAUUUGAAUUAUCUUGUUCUUAUGAGUUGCUUAGAUUAAUAGAAAAGUUGAGUGAAAUAGUUGUUUUCAAUCCAAAUUAAUCUAAGAGUUGAUUCUAAAAUGUGUUUUUGUAACUUGUCCUCAAGUUAUAUGAAAAGUCACAUUUAAGUUUCAUAAAACUCAUAAAAGUUGGCAAUGGUUACAAAAUGAAGAGUCUAGUGUCAUUGAAUAAUUUUUUAUGACUCCAUAACUUGUCCUCAAGUUAUGGAAGUUCAAGAGUCACUUCAUUAAAGAAAAAUAUGUAACCAUAAUUAAAUCCAUAAGUUAUAAAAUAAAGAAAAAGUUAGUUCUUUUAUUAGUUUAAAGUCUUCCAUAACUUGUCCUCAAGUUAUGGAACUUGAAGAGUUUUUGGAUUAAAACUACUUUAAACACAUAAGUUAUGGAAUUAAUUAGUUUUGAAUAGUUUCAAAACUUGCCCUCAAGUUUUGGAAUUUGAAAAGUUUUCACUUAUGAAUACUUUAAUUCCAAGUUAGCCCUUAGAAUUUUAAAAGUUAAAAUUCAACCCUUAUACUUUAUAAUAUUAUAAGUUAAUAAUAUAUAUAUGUAUAAGAGUAAAGUCAGUCUUACCGCUAGUACGCCUCAUUCACGAAGCCGGUCUAUAAGGUGGGUAUAAGGUUGUUGCCUAUAAAAUGGCAACUUAAUGGGUGUCCACUCUCACCCACCGCUUGCUUGACUGGUGGAGGGUCGUUAGCCGAACGGGUUUGACAGGACUAGAAUUCUCCCUUCAUUAAAAGUAUUAAUGAUAAAUACUAAGUAACUAAACUCUUAAUAAUACCCAAUCUUAGUUACUUAGGAAAAUGUGAAUAAGGUGCUAAUCCAUGAAAUUACACUUUGCACUUUGUUUAAGUCGGUUAGUGGAGCGUGUGUGGUUAACCGGCACACUAACUCGUAUUUAACAAGGUAGGCAAAGGGUAACUUAAUGUUUAUCAUAGUAUCGAUGGAGCGUGUGUGGUUAACCGGCACAUCGAUUGAGGGGUAAACACUUAAGGGUACCAAGUAAUUUGCAUGGUUACUUCACACCUUGUUUUGUGAUCCUCGGCAUCCCAGUCACAAAACCUGAAGGGCACACUCGAGAUUGAAACAUGCCAUUGAACAGUUCAAUGAAUCUCAAAGAUCUAGGAGUUUCAAAACCAAUUAAAACCUAAUAAUACAUUUCGUUUAUCUUGGUGGAAAUUGGUGAAUCGUCAUUCACCUACCUUCAAAUAUUUUAUAGCUUGGAUUACGGCAUACCUCUUCUAAGUUAUAAAAUAGUUUGUUGGGUCCUAGCCUUAAUAUUUCAUAUUGGGUGUCAUAUUAAGGACUUUAAAUCAACUAUCUUGAAUAUCUCCCAAAAGAUGUCUGGUUUAGACACCUAUGAUCUUCCCAAAUCUCUUGAAACAAGGUUUCCUAAUGAAGAUGAUGUCCCAUGGAUAUCAUACUUCUUCACCUCUUCAAAUUAUUCUCCCUAACCCACAAGUUCUUGAAAAGUUUAAGGUCACUCAGGCCCUAUUGGCAAGGCAAGGUCUAGGUGUGGUCACAUCUUGGAGAUGUAGUCACAUAUUGACAAGCCGGGAGAGUUGGGUGUCAAAGUCUUGAGAAAGUUGGUGGUUCAAUCACUUUCUAAGUCACAUAGUGAGUUCCUUUGGGACACCUAUGAAACAGACUAUGACAAGACCCUUAAUGAUCUUAUCUAUUUGUUAAGAUCAACUUCCUUAAAACUUGAUGGACAUUGACAAUAGUGACACAGGAAAUCCAGAAAAGCAUUCUCUUCCCAAUGGAAAGGGAUCGGCCAUAGUCAACUCGGUUGACCAAAUGGUAAAGAGAAAAGCUAAGUCUGUGAUAGUCCCGUGUACCAUUAUCAAAGGGUCCAUAUGUUUAUAUUGCCAAAGGAAGGGGCAUUGGUUGCGAAGCUGCCAAAUUUACCUAAGGAUGUUAAAGUCAAUAAGUUUGACUCUACUUCAGGUAAAGUCCACUAUCUAACUCUGUUAAGUUUCUAUUCUGAGAUUCUUGAUACAUGAUGUGACUGGGUCACAUGGUGAUGUUUUAAGAAUCAAAGAAAAGUGAAGAAACUUAAAGAAAGAAUAUGCUGAAUCUGAUGGCGUAGAUGGAUUUCUAUCGCAUAGUUUGAAGAUCGGAUUCUUGAGCUACUUCUUAGGAGUUAUGAGAUAUUGCUUAGGAAUAGAUAACAACAAGUUUUCAUAUGGAUUGUAAGGAUAAGUUUUUCCGCAAAGUUUUAAAAUAAAAGAAAAUUUUUUUUAUUUUAUUUAUUUUAAAAUAUCCUUACAAUGGCAUUUGAGGAAAAAUUGUUGCUUAUAUGAUUCCAUUAAGAGCAAGAGUGGAAAUAUGAAAUUGAUUCUUUCAUUUGUGGUAAUGUCUAAAUUUACCAAAUAAGGAAAGAUUCUCAUCACCCAAGUUUCAAUUGGACCGGAACUUGGAAUCAUGCAAGUUGUAUAGCAUGAUGAAUGAGAACUUUCAAGUUUUGGAAAAUUAAGACUAAUUACUUGUUCACAUGGAUGUGUGAGUCAAGUAAAGGACUUAGGGAUCGAGUACACAUUCUUGUGCACUGAUUAAGUCCACCACUAAAGAUCGAUAAGAAGAAUCAAAUAAGGCAGAAGGAUAAAAGUUUCUCAAAUCUGAAAAGAUGGGAGAGUACUUUAGUAUCAGUUUUGUGAUCAUCUUAAUGAUUAAGAAACCAUAUCAAAAUUAGUUCUCUAAGGAAAUCUUAGUGCAUUCUUAUGACUAAGAAGAGGAACUUGAAUUGUUGAAAUGGUUAAAUCAAGAAGAUGAGUCAUACUUCGUUCCAAUACAAGUCUUAGAGUCAUACUCCAAGAUUGUCAUUUGAGUGACAUGUCUUAAAGAAGGUUUAAAACACUUGUCAAAUGUAAGAGUAAAAGUUUUCUACUCUUGUACAUUUGAAAUUGGUAAGUUGUGAUGUUUUGGAUAAAACAAAGACCAACUUAGGCCAAUUGGGUAAAGUGUUUUUCUUGAUUAGAAUCCGCACUAUCUCUUGGAUGUUUGACAAGGGAGUCUUAUAUGUCAAGAGGACAGUGGGAGUCUUAAAGGUCUUGAAAGUCUCAAGAAAUAAUCAAGAAUAAAACCUAAAGUUCUUCACUAGCACACGACUUGAGGUUUAUAACCUAUCGUGUUGACAUAUCUGUGCCCAUUCCAGUUAAAGUUGGCUUUGCAUAUGAGUUCUUAGAGUUCUCAGUUUGUUGCAUAACAACUUGGAAGCAAUGGCAGGCCCUUGAGCUGCCAGGUGGCAAGAAGUUAAGAUUGAGUUCAAUCCAUAUGGUUUUGGAUUUGUCAUUAUCUUUGUCUUGUGAUUAUGGUUUGACAAAUUCAUAUGGGUAGGAACUCAUACACCAUAUAAAUCUAAGUGUCAUAAGGUUUCUCUCCGAUUCAUGAAAAUGAUGGUGAGGAAACGCUUUCACUAAGUAGAUUUUACGAAGAUAUCAAUUGUGUUAUUUGCAUUUUCAAAAGUCGUUAGUGGAGCGCGUGUGGUUAACCGGCACACUAACAUGGACUUGUGAGAAAUGGCAAAUGCCUAAGCAAUUGAGACCAUGAUUACGGUAUCCCUUUUCAUGGUUCUUGAAAUUGCUUAGACACACAGGUGAGCUAUCUACGGAAAGGGUGUAUGAAUCUAAAUUUCAGACUGUCCAGCUGAUUUCUGAGUACAUGUCAAAGCUAGUGGGAGCAUAAGUGUUAUGCUAAUAAUCAUCAUGUUAGUGGGAGCAUGAUAAUUAUGAUAAGUAUUGCAAGUUAGCAAUGUUAAUUAUAGAAAACAAAAGUUUCAAUUGGGAAAAAGUUGUUUUGCUAUAAUUAAGGGAGAGGAAAUUAUGCUUCAUCUCAAAUCUAUAAGCUUAGAUCGUGAGGUUUUAAUCAUUUAGUCAAGGAUAUAUAUGAAUUUCAUGUUGGAAUGGCUCAACAUAAGGAAAUUCUGUAUAUGGGUCCAUUAUUUGCGUUCUAAAAUUCGAUUAUGAUUACGGCAUCCCUUUUCAUAAUCUGAAUUAUGAGAACUUGGCAAAUUGAAAUGGAAAUAUUAUAGCAAAAGACUGGUUUAGUCUUUAUGUAAGACAUCAUGAAUCGUGUCCCAUAUGCUUCGGAUAUAGGAUCGAUUACAUGUGCUAUAUUCAUCCGUUCUAAAAUUUUCCAAAUGCCUGGGGCAUUAAGAAGGGAAAAGGUUUAGAACUGGAUAUGACUAAAAGGAUUAAACAAUUGUCGAGGACAAUCUAAGGUUUACCAAAGAUUGGUUACUCAAGGACAAUUGGAAGUAUAGUGAUAAUUCUGGAAGGACCAUAUUGACAUAAUCUGUAAGGAGGCAACUCUUGUUCAGAAGUGAUAGUCAAAAUGGAAUCUGGAAAUGUUUCAAAGUUAGAAUUUUCAAUCUGUGUAAGAUUAAGGAAACUUAAUGCAAGAAGGAUAUUUCCAAGGAGUUGAUCUCCUUUGGAAUACUCUGUAAUGAUUGUUGCCAAGUCUUUGUGACUUUGUGCAUAAUCAUUACAAGAGGAUCAAUGCAUAUAAGUUUAGAAUCUAACAGAUUUCAGUAAAUGGCAUGAAUUUGGAAUUCUUGCAUUUGCAGUAAGGAUUUGGGAGUGUGAAAAGAGAAUCAUUGAAGUUAUGUUCAAUUGAUCUAGUUCACAAAGUAAAGAUCAUAGACAAACAUAGUAUGCAUACUUGGUGUGUGGCAUGACUAGUGUUUAAGAAAACAUAGUGUACAUGCUUGGAGCAUGGGACAACUAUUGUUUUAAAUUCAAGAAUAAAGUUGAUAGCUGAAACAGUAUACAAUGAAUAAUGUGUAAUCAUAUGGUGAUAAAUAAAAGGUGUUUUAUUUAUGUUCAAAGGGUUGAUACCAUAUUGGAUUCAAUUAUUAUUGUGUUUCAUUUUGCAUGUUUUGACUUCCCGAAUAAACUGGGUUAUUCUUCCGGAAUGACUAAGUUAUUCAAACCAUCCACAGUCGGUCAUAUGUUGGAAGUAGAUAUGAAUUAAGACUGUCAUGGGUUGGCUUGUAGAGGUCUAAGGUGUUGGACAAAGGGCUACAACACUCAUGAGUGCUCAUAAGUUCUGAGUAUUGGAUUCAACCCGCGCUCAUUGGAAUCACUUCAUGGAUUUUAUCACGAGUGAUCAUGAGACGAUAAUAUCUUAUAUUCUUCAAACCUAGAGAUAUGAGUUGUUACUAUGAGUUGAUAGUACAUUGAUUGCACGAAAACGCAUUUGGUAACUCGGUGCUAUAAAACGUGCCUUUGUGUAUGAUUCAACAAGUAGUAGAACAAGCCAUAUGAGUCGAAGUUUAUCCAUUCCUUUUACCUUCGGGAUAAAAGCGAUAUCUGUGGGCCCCUCGAUGAUUUGAUGAUGACAAAUGGAAGUGCUCGGCCGGGCCAGGACUGAUUUGAUUUGUUCAAUUAGUCAGUCGUCAUAAAUCGGAAAUCGGGAAACAACAAAUGGACAGAGAGAAUGAUUAUAAUCCAUGUCUCAGUCCAUAUGAUAUCUAGAAUGGAGGAAUAUAUGAUCCCUUAUCUAAUGGACAAGUCAUUGACAAAGGUCAGAGUUCAUCUACAAGGUCAGAGUUCGACAGAAGCUUUUGAGAGCUACGAUUGCCAGUUGGUUCCUGAAGUCAUACGCAAUAAUAGUUUUAGACUUAUCCAAGUGGGAGACUGUUGGAUUAAUGUCUAAGUCCAUAACUAUAAUUGGUAAGACUUGACCCGACCCGGCAUGGUCCAUUUGGGUUGCAUACCAUCAUGCACUUGGAUAGACUAUAAUGAGAGAAAUAAGACACUUAUGGUUAUUAAUAUAUUAUAAGUUCUAGUAUAUUAAUAAUAAGAAUAAUAAUAUUAUUUAAUUAGUAUUGAUCAAGAAUUAAUCUAGGAUUAAUUAAGUGAUCAAAAGAAGACUAAUUAAAUAUAUGGGUUGAUUGUGUAAAUCAUCCAUACUUGUAUAGUGGGCUAAUGCUCCAUGGAUAAUCAAGUUGGGCUAAAACCCAUAGGAUGGUCCAUGGAUGCUCCAUGGUGUAUUUGUACCCAUGGAUCCAAGGAAAUGGAAAGCCAUGACAAUUAAGAGUUUACCCUAAUUNAUAUAAGCAUCUUAUUCUUGACCAAAAUCGGCCACUAGUGUGUGAAAAAAAAAGGGCUAGCCGAUUUCAUGAGUUGUAGAAUUCUCUCAAGUUAUUCUAAGUGUUUUGGUGAUUGUGAUUCCAUUUGAGGUGUCACACUUGGGGCACUAGGCACUCAAGCUUCAUGAAGACUUUCUACACCAAAGAGGUAUGUAUUCUAUCUUGCUAUAGUCAUUGUUUUGUAUGCUAGAUUAGGAUAAUACCUUGGAAGUUCUUACUUGCACGUAUAAUAGAGAAAACAUAGAUCCAAGGUAUUUAGGGUUGCAUGUACACUUAGGAGUGUUAGAAUGCUCAAAACCCAACACUUAAGUCAUCACUCCCACCGAGAACUAGAAACCAUUCAUUGGUCCUUCGUAUGUACUUAAGAAUAUUCUUAACUGCAGUCCAAUAAGCUCUACCAGGUUUCCCUUGAUAUCUGCUGAGCAUACUCAAAGCGAAGGCCACAUCAGGGCGAGUACAAGUCAUAACGUACAUGAUAGAACUGACUACGGAAGCGUAAGGUACUCGGCUCAUCUCAGCUAUCUCUGCCUCUGUACUCGGGCUCUAAGUCUUACUCAGCUUAGUAUUGCUUUAGAUUGACAACUCCCCUUUCUUUGAACUUUCCAUACUAAAACGCUUUAGUACCUUAUCCAAGUAUGUAUCCUGACUGAGUCCUAUCAGUCUCUUUUCCCUGUUUCGCACUAUCCUUAUUCCCAGAAUAUAAGUAGCCUCUCUGAGGUCCUCAAUAGCGAAACAUUUCCCAAGCCAAGACUUGACCUCCUGCAAGGUUGGGACAUCGUCUCCUAUGAGUAGUAUUUCAUCAACAUACAAUACGAGGAAGCUCAUUAUGCUCCCACUGGCUUUGAUAUAUACACAAGAUUUAUCUUCGCUUCGUAGAAAGCCAAACUCUUUGACUUUCUCGUCAAAACAAAGAUUCCAUCUUCGAGACGCUUGUUUCAAUCCAUAAACGGAUUUCUCAAGCUUGCACACUCUAUUUGGAUGCUUCGCAUAGACAAAACCCUCUGGCUGAUUCAUGUAAACAUCCUCAACCAACUUUCCAUUAAGAAAAGCGGUUUUCACUCCCAUCUGCCAUAUUUCAUAAUCAUGAAACGCAGCUAUUGCGAGCAUUACCCUAAUAGACUUUAUCUUCGCAACUGGUGAGAAGGUCUCAUCAUAGUCAACUCCAGGAGUUUGAGUAAAGCCCUUCGCAACCAAUCGCGCUUUAUAAGUGUGCACUUUCCCAUCCAUGUCCAUCUUCUUCUUGAAGAUCCACUUGCACCCGACUAUUUUACGACCCGGUACAUUUUCAACCAAAUUCCAAAUUUCAUUGUUGUACAUGGACUAAAUCUCGCUGUCCAUCACCUCUUUCCAUUUAGCAGACUCCGUGCCUACCAUGGCUUCUUUGUAGCUGCUAGGUUAGUCCAAAUUUAUCAGUGUUUCAUCACUAAUAAAUGUAUCCCCUUCAACAGUAAUAUGAAAACCAUAAAACGGGGGUUGAACACUAACCCUACUGGAACGUCUAAGAGGUAAGGACUCAUCAAUGGGUUCAACCAGAAUUUCCUCCUCAGGUUGAGUGCCAGUGUUAGAGGUUCCUUCAUCGCUUUGCUGUUGAAUCUCUUCAAGAUCAAUUUUGCCUCCCAUUGUCCUAUUGACUUAUCAAUUCCCUUUCUCGGAAAACUCCUCUUCUCGUAAUGAAGACAACAUUGUCACUCAGUCUAUAGAAGAGAUAGCCAAAAGACUUUUGUGGAUAGCCGAUGAAAUAACACUUCUCACUACAAGGUUCGAGCUUGUCGUGAGUCUCUCAUCUUACGAAAGCCUCGCAACCCCAAACCUUGAUAUGUGCCAACGAGGGAGCUUUCACUGUCCACAUCUCGUGAGGUGUCUUGGUAACCUUCUUGGUGGGAACUAAGUUAAGGAUAUGGGUGAUAGUCUCUAAGGAAUACCCCCAGAAAGCUAUUGGCAACGAAGCCCGACUCAUCAUAGAACGAACCAUGUCCAACAAGGUCCAAUUACGUCUCUCGGCCACACCAUUCAAUUGUGGCGUUCUCAGAGGCGUCAAUUGUGAAACAAUUAUGCAUUCCUUUAGAUAGUCGUGAAACUCAAGACUUAGGUACUCUCCUCCUCGGUCUGACUGAAGCAUCUUGAUUUUCCUGCCCAACUAAUUCUCCACUUCAUUCUUAAACUCUUUGAACUUUUCAAAGGUUUCUGACUUAUGCUUGAUUAAGUAGAUAUCUCCAUAUCUGCUAUAAUCUGUAAAAGUCACGUAAAAGCGGCAAGCAUCCCUUGUGGUGGAUUUAAAGGGCCCACACACAUCGGUGUGUAUGAGAUCCAAUAGACCCUCACCCUUAUCACAAGUGCUAGUAAAGGGUGACUUGGUCAUCUUCCCAAGUAAAUAAGAUUCACACAUGUCAUCGUCCCCAAGGUCGAAUAACUCCAGCACUCCAUCCUUUUGGAGUUGGGCUAUGCGUUUCUUGUUGAUAUGGCCAAGGCGACAAUGCCACAAGCAUGCUUUGUCUAGACUAUUAGACGACUCAAUAUUCAACACAUCAUUUCCUAAAUUAUCAACAACCAACACAGAUUCAUAAAUCCCAUUACAAGGUAAUGCAUUGAAAUAAAAGACACCAUUCAAAUAAACAUUAAUAGAACCAUUACUAUUAUCAAAUGAGUAUCUGAAACCUUGUCUAAACAAUCCAUGAAAUGAAAUGAUGUUUCUUGCCAUAUCUGGCGAAUAGCAACAAUUAUUUAAAUCUAACCCUAACCCAUUACUCAACACUAAAGACUAAACUCUGACUCUAGUCACAGGCAAUGAUCUUCUGUUUCCCAUAAUCAAAUUUAUCUUCCCAUGUUCCUCCUCCCUACUUCUUCUUAGGCCCUGCAAAUCAUAACAAAUGUGGAAACCACAUCCUGUAUCAAGGACCCAAGAACNCCAUGAAGUAGCAAAUGAUGAGUUGUUAGAUUUAAUAGAAUACAUACCUGCAAAGGUGGGCUUUAUCUUCCCAUCCUUUAUGUCUUGCAGAUACUUAGGGCAACUUCGUUUCUAGUGGCCCUUCUCGUGGAAGUAGUAGCACUCUGCUUCUUUGGGGUUGGAAGAGGGUUUGACUGAACCAACUUUGGUUCUACUAGAAGAGGAACCAUCAUGGGGCUUACCCUUUUGGUGGCUCUUACUUGGAGCCUUCCUCUUCUUACCCUUUCCUUGACCAAUUGCCAACACAUGAGCAACCACAGUAGAGGAUGAUGCAACAGAUUUGUCCUUGAGGUUGCUCUCAGCAGUCCUCAGGAGCCCUUGGAGUUUGCUCAAGGUGACCUCUUUUUUAUUAAUAUGGUAGGUCAUCCUAAAUUGAUUGUAGCACGAGGGCAAGGAGUGGAGAAUGAUGUCGAUAGCCAAAUCUUCCCCAAAGUUAACACUUAACUUGCGAAGACGAUUAACAUACCUCUGCAUUUUCUGCAAAUGCGAGGUUAGGGACUCUCCACUCCCCAUCUUAGUGGUGAUCAUGUUGGUGAUGAUCUCAUAGCGCUCUUGCCUUGUGCUUUGGUGGUACCUCUCUAGCAAAUCUUGAUGCAUUUCAUAUGGAUACAUGUCCUCAUAGGACUUUUGGAGUUCAAGAUUCAUAGUGGCCAGCAUAAUGCAAUGAAAUUUCGUUGCAUCACACUCAUGGGCCUCAAAGACGGCCAAUACUUCGGGAGUAGCGACUUCUGGAUUGAUCUUUUCAAGCUUCUCGUCGAGGACAUAUUAUUCAUCCUCGUAACGAGCAAUCAUGCGAAUGUAUCUCAUCCAUUCGUUGAAUUUCAAUCCAUCAAAUGUCACCUUCUGACACAACGAACCAGGAGCAGUGUUGUUUGCGUUUGCGUUAGACAUCUGACAAUAUAAACGAAUAAAGUUUGAUUAGAAUUGAAUCCCCAAUUAAACACCCAAAUGAGAAAUUAGGGCUAGGAUCCAAGAACAUUAUUUACAACUUAGAAAGGGAUGUCGUACACUAAAAGUAAAUAAUUUGAAGGUAAGUGAAUGACGAUUCACUAAUUCUCUCCAUGAAAAACGAAAGAGCAAUUUAGGUUUUAAAUGUAUUGAAAACUCCUAGAUCUUUGAGAUUCAUUGAACUUUUCAAUGGCAUGUUUAAAUCNAUGUUUAAAUCUCGAUAUGAACUUCAAAUUUGCGACUGGAAUGCCGAGGAUCGCAAACAAGUUGUGAAUAACCAUGCGAAUCAACAUGGUGUGCUCAAUCUCUCUAUCACCUAAUCAAUGUGCCGGUUAGCCACGCACGCUCCAUUGAUCUAUGACAAACAUCGAGCCACCCUUUGCCACCAAUGUCAAUCCCAAAUUAGUGUGCCGGUUAACCACGCACGCUCCACUAAUGCUUGACAAAAGUACAAAGUGUAAUUCCAUGGAAUAGCAUCAUUUUCACAUUUUACCCUAAAGUAACUAAGAUUGGGAAUUUGUAACAAAAAACAUGUUAGUUACUUUUCAAUAUUCAUUAUACUUAUAAUGAGGUAUUAAGUGCCCUAUCCUAUCCGUUCGGCUAACGACCCUCCACCAAUCAAGCAAACGGUGGGUGUGAGUGUACACCCAUUAAGCGCCAUUUUAUAGGCAGCAACCUUAUACCCACCUUAUAGAUCGACUUUGUGAAUGAGGCCUACCAGCGAUAAGACUAGCUUAUUCUUAUACAUACAUACAUAUAUAUAUAUAUAUAUAGAUAUANNNNNNUAUUAUAUAUAUAUAUAUAUAAUAAAUAAAGUAUAAGGUUGAUUUUAGACUUGUAAAAAUCUAAGGGUUGAAAUUUAAAACUUUUCAAUAAUUAAACUUUUAAUCAAAGAAUUUAAAUUUCAAAACUUGAGGGCAAGUUUUGAACUUUUCAAACCACAAGGGAUCAAAUAACAAAUAAUAUAAAUCAAACAAUUAAUUUAGUGAUUAUAUAUAUUUGACUUAAUUCAAUUUCUUGCAAGAUAAGUUACCUAAUUAAUUCAAAUAAUCAAUUUUAAUCAUAUAAGGAAUUUAUUAUCUAAUCAGUUGGUAAUUAUCUUGUGUUUUGGAAAGGAUAAUCUUUCAAUAACAAUAAAAUUUGAAUAUUAUCAGUUAAAUACAUAUAAGGCAAUUAUCCUUCAGCAAAACAGCAAGAAAAUCCGAAAAUCCCUCUGUCUGACGCUCUGACUCGCCGAGUCACUCACUAGACUCGCCGAGUUGGGUUGACUCGCCGAGUCCAUGAAGUGACUCGCCGAGUCAGUUUGAACAGAAGGAAAGAAAAUGUUUUUCAGCAGAUAAUCGAUCAUAGCAUCACAUACAACAGAAACCAAUCAAGGCUCUGAUACCACUGAUGGGUUUUAUGCAUAAGAACAAUCCUAUGUGCUCAUACAAACCCUAAUGCUUGGAUCUAGGUAUCUCUAUUGUACAUGCAAUGAAUCCAAGACUUGAAAACCCUAAUCUAGCAUACAUAAUUUUGAAAUUAGCUAAUUACAUCAGAUCUAGAUGUUUACCUCUUCAAAUAGUGGCUUGAAUCUUCUUCUCUUGAGCUUAGAGUCACAAUUGUAACCCCUCUAAUGGAUCACAAACACCACAAGCAACAAAGCAACUUUGAGAGAGGAGGGAGGAUACUAAUUUUAGGCCCUAGGGUUUCUCUUGGAAGCAAGUGGCCGAAAAUUGGAGCCUUGGGGUCUUAUUUAUAGUGCAGGCUUCUAGGGUUUUAGUCUAAACCCUAAUGGAUAACUUAGCCACCAAGCAUCCCAAGGAACCUUUUGGAAUAAGGACCUUGGACGAAAAUAUGAUGAUAUUUCAUCAUAAUUUCGUUUCCCCUUAGUCCAUUAGGUUUCCAGCCCAAAACUCAACUAUCACACAUUUGACAGUUUAUGCCCCUUUAUUUAAUUAAUCUCUUUUAGUCACCAAGUUAAUUCCUGAUUAAUUUAUGACCAAUACUAAUUAAAUAAAUAUGAUUUCUCCUUUAAUAUAUUAUUCUUAUAAUAUAUUAAUAUAUCAUAAUAUCCUCUCUCUCUCUCUCUCUCUCUCUCUCUCUCUCCUCAAAUUACCUAGUCAAGUUGCUUUGGUGAAGACAACCCAAAAGGACCAUGCACAACCGGGUCAAGUACAUACCAAAUAUAGUUACGGACUUAGACACUAAUCCAACACUUGGAACUCAUGGAGCAUGUGAUAAAGGAAUGGAUUAUCUGAGAAGGGAAUGGAUCUCCUGACAAAGGAAUGGAUCUCACGACAAAGGAAUAAAUAUCCUAAAAGGGGUAUGGAUCAACCGGAAGUGGAAUGGAGCAUCUUGGUGCAUGGAUGCGCCAUCUAUGAUCAAGGCGACAUCCUAUUUUUGGAUGAACCAUUUUGGAAUCAGGAUAUGCCACGAAGUGACUUAAUAUACCACCAAGUGACAUGAUAUACCACCAAGUGAUAGGAUAUGCCAAAGAGAUACGAGAUGCCAUGAAGUUACAUAAUAUGCCACCAAGUGAAAAGAUAUGCCAUUUAAGAGGUGGAUGCGUCAUUUAAGAGGUGGAUGCACCAUUCAAGAGGAUGAUGCACCAUUAUGGAGCAUGAUGUGCCACCAAGGUUCUGGUGUGCCAUCAUUACUCCUGAUGUACCACUCAGAUGUCAAGUUCACUAGGAUGCUUAAGAUUAGCCAAAUGUUUCUUAGAAGAAUGAAGUUGAUCAUAGAGCAUGUUCCACAUGGCUGAUGUAACAUCUUGAUGGCAGAUACACCAUCAUGAUGCGCCAUUAUGGUACAUGAUGCUUGAAUUAUGAUACAUGAUGCACCAUCACGUGUUUUUGUUGAUGCUCAUGAGGUUGAAGAUUCUAAAAGUGCAAACAUGGCAUUCCGUGAUUGGUUGGAAAUUAGGGCAUCCCAUUAUAGGCUAAUUAUGGAUUGGCUUGGUCCAUCAUAAUUAGGGUUUCCCAUGCUUGCCUAUAAAUAGGUCCAUAUCUCUAUCAUUUUUAGUGGCACAAAAAAUUCAAGUGAGCAAUCAUUUUAAGGUUAAGAGCACAUCCUUUAAAGCAGUUAGUAAGCAAGAAAGAUUCUUUUGUGUUGAGAGGUCAAGUGAGGUGUAACCUUUGUGUUUGAUUGAAAUUUUUCUUUGAAGUUAAUAAAAUCCUCUCUCUCUUUCUUGUUCACCUGUGGAUGUAGGUCACCUUAACCGAACCAUGUUAAAUAUUGUGUUUCACUUGAUUUGCAUUUUUUCAAAAGUUUUAUUUCCGCAAAUUCACUGAAGUUUGUUUUGAUAUUUUUCUAAAGUGUUUAACUUGUUUUGUUGUCAUCCCAACAAAAAUACCUCAAAGGCUAGUUUCAUCUAAGUCGCCUAAUCAUAUUUUACAACAUAUUCCUUGUGUCAUCUCAAACUAAUUGCAUUUCUUUAAGUACCAUCCAAUAAUUCAUGUUGUUGAGUCUACUCAUCUUGAAUCAUUUGAUCCAUGACAUUAUAUCGCAACAAUCAGAGAUAUUUGUUGUCAUGCAAGAAUUAACCAUGAGACAAGAGCGACACAUGCUGGACAAAAGCCUCGAAAAAAGCACAUCCCAGAAAAGAUGCAAGGCGCAACGUACAGAUACCUGCUAUAAGAAAAUAGGAAAAGGUAGUAGGCAAUCAGUUGUUUUUGCUCGGGCCACAAAAGAAAUUGAGCAAAGCUUGUACUACUCUUCCCAGUGAAGCCUAUAAAAGCAAGCUUCACACAAGGAAAGUGUAACAACCCGUUAUUUCAAGUCAAUGUAAAUCAAACUUGUUCAAAUAAAAGUCUAAAUUACAACUGUAUACAAGUGAAUUCACAUCCUAACAAUGAUACAAUGAGAACUUUGAAUGCCAUAAGGGCAUGUAUAUAUAAGUAUUGUAUGAGCGUACUUUGAUAAUCAAACUUAUAUAAGUUAUAUCCACAUAUAUAUUGAAAACCAUGCAUAUAUAAGUUAAAUGCAAGUCAACAUAAGUCAAGGAAGUAAGUUAAAACGUAGGAAAUACACUUUAUCAUGUUGAUUUCGAUUUUGGGAAUCUAGGAAAAAAUGUGAUUUUGGUUUUAAGCAUCUAGAAACAAUAGGUUUUCGAUUUUGAGCAUCUUGGACCACUUUAUGUUUUCGGUUUGGUAUCCUCCACUAAGGUCGAAAUCUCUCAUUUGUGGAAUAACCAAGGUGAUUUCGGUCAUGCUAGGACCAAAAUCAACCUUAUCUUGUCCAAAAUCACCCAUAAUAUACAGAUAUUUUACAUAUUUAACUUCCCAAUGUGAUAUGAUCCAUUUACCAACGUAAACAUCACCUUAACCGCCUAUCUUUUCCUUCCUACGUAAGAUACAAAAUGAGAUUCAUUUAACACUUCCAAUAAACACUUUUCACCUCAUAUGCUCUCAAAUAUCAAAGCACUUACCCAGUUAAUCUUCAAACCUUCAAAUUUCAUUCAAGAACACAUCGCAUCUGCAUCCAAAAUUUCCAGAAAACUUGUAAGUUACUAUGCGUUAGUUAGUCUUUUAAAACAUUUAACAUAUAAAUUCAACUAAUUCAUACAUAAUAUUACGUGUUAAAUAUUAUUAGGCUAUGUUUAUUAACACGUGGUCUAACCUGAGAAUCAUCACUACCACAUCGUAACCAACCAAGAACACACUCGAGGUGAGUUCAUACCCCUAUAUUUUCAUGAUUUUUCAUUGUUUUAGGGGGGAAUACAAGUAAAACACAAGAAAUAUUGUGUUGAUAUCUAAAAGAUUUCAAAUAUUGUCAUUCAUUAUCGUUACUAAAAUUACAUAUAUAUAUAUAUAUAUAUAUUAUAAUUAAGAUUCAACGGACUUAGAAUUGGUGAUUUUGCUUUAUUUCCUGUUCCUUGUUUGGUUGUGGGCUUAGGGUAGAAUCAUUUAUUCGACUACCUUUUUAAUCAUAAUUAUAUUAGUGUUAUAGUUAUAUAAAUAUAAAACUAUUUAGAGAUGUUAAAUAAAAAGAAUAUUUUUGCAAUCCAUUUUUAUUACCAUUUGAACAUAAAUGUUAAAUUUCACGGAAUAUAUAUAUCACGGAAUUAUGAUUUCAAACUUGCAAAGUCAUUAAUAAUACAAAGGUUUUCAUUACGGUGGAACACACAUUAUAAACUAUAAUAGGUAUAGUUUAUGGAACUUAUAUAUCAUUUUACCAAGUUCAAUACCAAAUACAGGAAGAAACAUAUAAACUAUAAUAGGUAUAGUUUAUGAAUCAUAUGCACUAUAUUACCAAGCUCAAAAUACAUUACGGAAAACAAACAUAUAAACUAUAAUCGAUAUAGUUUAUAAGAUAUACAUACAAUUAUUCAUUACAAAAAGGACUUUUCAUUAUUCUACACGUAACCGUCAAUAUAGCUUUGUGAGACACACUUCACGUACUUAUCUAAGUACCAAUGAAAGCCUUGGAAUUAUAACCAAAGCCUCCUGGAGGGAGAGCGUGACACUAGUGUAUAGAUCUAUACGGGACUGGCAAUCCCGCACCUUAACUAUUAACUACUAUUAGGCCGGCAGGCCUGGGGUGAAAAAUGUCGUACCGAUUCCGACGCCUGAAGAACGUCGUGUCCAGGCCAUCUUAGGUCAUCAAGCAUGGUUAUGAUAACUCACAACUUGGAGUUGAACAAUAUGAUUAGUGUACGAGUAAGUAAACAACUUCACAUAGUUUUAUUAAAUAAUAAAACUACAAUACAAUAUUUUGAUGGGUUUUGGUCAUAAGACAUCCUAUGUGCUCAUACAAACCCUAAUGCUUGGAUCUAGGUUUCUCUAUUGUACAUGCUUUGAAUCCAAGACUAUAAAACCUAAUUCUAGCAUAUGGAAAUCAAUAUUAACAUAUAAUUAGGUUUAAGAUAUUACCUUGAUUGUUAUGUAGCAAUAACAAUCCCAAUUCCUCCUUUGAAUUGACUUUGGAAGGCUUAGAGUCACAAGUGUCACUCCUCUAAUGGCUUACAAACACCAAGAGCAAAUGGAGAAGGUAUAAAGAGAGAGGAGAGGUGUUAGAAUUCGUCCCUAGGACUUCUUGGGAAGGCUUAGACGAAUUCAUAAGCCUUAGGGGGUUUAUAUAGGUGUAAAGAUUAGGGUUUUAGUCCUUAUCCUUAUCUAGUUGCUUGCCCACCAAGCAACCAUAAGAUAAGUCUUAGAAACCCUUAUCCUAGUCGAAUUCUAAGGCAUUAUCACCUUAAAUUCGUUCACCCUAUAUAUAAGAUAAUCCUUACCUUAUUUUGUAACUAUCACAUAAUUACAAUUCAGCCCCUCUAGUUUAAUUAAUUACACUUGAUCACAAAAUUAAUUCAUAUUUAAUUAUUGACCAAUAUUAAUUAAACAAAUAUGAUUUCUCCUUUAAUAUAUUAUUCUUAUAACAUAUUAAUAAAUCAUAAUAACCUCUCUCUCUAUUUAUUUCUCCAAUCAAGUUGCUUUGGUGAAGGCAACCCAAAAGGACCAUGCACCAUCGGGUCAAGUACAUACCAAAAUAGUUAUGGACUUAGACACUAAUCCAACAGUCUCCCACUUGGAUAAGUCUAAUAACUAUUCUGCGUAUGACUUCAGAUCCUGAUCUGCAAUCGUAGCUUUCCAAAGCCGCUGUCAACUCUGAUCAUAUCAGAUACGCGUGUCCUUAGAUAAGGGAUCAUAUAUUCCUCCAUUCUAGAUAUCAUAUGAGAUAUGAUUUCAAAUCAUUCUCUUUGUACUAUAUCUCGAUUCCCGAUUUAUGACGACUGACUAAUUGAACAAAUCAAAUUAGCCCUAGCCCGGCCGAGCAUUUACGUUUGUCAUCACUAAACCAUCGAGGGGCCCAAAGAUAUCGCUUUUAUCCUACUUUGGAUAAAAGGAACGGAUAAACUUUGAUACAAUGCUUGCUUGCACUCACGAACCGAAUCACACACAACAAUAUGUUUUAUAACACCAAGUUACUAGUGCGUUUACAUAUUAUCAAUGUGCAACCGAUUUGCAAGAUACAACUCACACAUCUCGGUUUCAAGAAUAUAAGAUGUUAUCGUCUCACCAAUCACUCGUGAUACAAUUCAUGGAGUGAUCCAAGUGAGCGUGGGUUUAAUCCAAUGCUCAAAUCAUAUUCAUAAGCACUCAUGAACGUUGCAGCAAACAUUUGCUUAUGUCUAAUACUCUUUUAGACAAUCCACACACCAAUUCACGACAGUCUUCAUUCAUAUCUACUUCCAACAUAUGAACGACUGUGGCCCGUUCGAAUAAUUCGAUUAUUCUUAAUAAACUCAAUUAUUCUGGAAGUCAAAACAUGCAAAUGUGAAACACAAGAAUAAUACUAAUCCCAUAUGGCCUCAAACCUUUGAGUAUAAAUAAAACACCUUUUAUUUAUCACCAUAUUGAUUACUCAUUAUUUGUCGUUUCGGGUAAUCAACUUCUUACUUGAAUUACAACACUUGUCCCAUGCUCCUAGCAUGCACACAAUGUUUACCUAUGGUUCUUACUUUGUGAAAUAGAUCACAUUGAACACAUUUCCAAUCAUUCUCAUUUCACAACUCCAAAUCCUUUUUCAUAAGUGAAAGAAUAUCAAAUUCUUGCUACUUAUAGAAUAUGCUAGAUUCUAACAUUCUAUGCAACUAUCCUUUCGUAAUGUCACUGCACCAAAGUCACAAAGACUAUUGCCAAUGAUAUUACAAAGUCCUCUAUCGGAGAUUGUUACAAGACAAUUCCAUAGAUGUGAUGUCUCUCACUCAAAGUACAUUCUUUGAACAUCCUUUUGCAUAGAAGUUUCUAAUCUAGUCAUAGAUUUCUCAAUAUUCAAUUCCCAAUAUGGACACACUUCCAUAUGUUCCAUAUGACAACUCAUUCUUAAUAGAAUCUUAUCUAUUCGUAAUGAUGUCGAUAUGGUCCAUCCAAUAUGGAAACAUUUCCAUAUUUUCCAAUACUAUACUUCCAACUACUCACAAGCGACCAAUCCUCGUCGAACUUUGGAUUGUCCUUUGAUAGUUGUUUAAUUGUUUUAGUCAAAACCAAUUCUAGUCCCUUUUCCCUCUAAAUGCGCUCGACAUUUGGAAAAUUUUAGAAUGGUCAAACAUUAAAGCAUUUGCAAUCGAUCCUAUACCCGAAGCGUAUGGGACACGACGCAUAAUGUUUUAUUUGCUAUGUUCUCAAAAUUCGAAUUGUGAAGAGGGAUGCCGUAAUCAUAAUCGAAAUUUUAAGAACACACUUUGUACCUUUGACUAAAUUUUAUUAACAUUUCUCAACCUAAACCUUUAGAUUUGAAAUGAAGCAUAAUAUUCUCUCCCUUAAUUAUAGCAAAACAACUUUUCAACUAUUGCGACUUUGCAAAGUAUGACUCUUGUUUUCUAUAAUUAAUAUUGCUAACCUUGCAAUACUUUCCUUAAUAAUCAUACAAUCAUAACUUUUAUGCUCCCACUAUCUUGAUGAUUAUUAUAAAACAUAACACUUAUGCUCCCACUAGCUUCGACAUGUAUUCAUAAACAUCUUAACUUUCAGAAAAAAAAUGCUUAUUGAAUUUCUUAAGUUCAUGUUUCUAAUACUUAGUGCUUUGAUAAUCUUUUAUCAAGGCUUCUUGAACUUAUACACCUUUGCCUUCGAUAGUUCAUAUGUGUGUCUAAACAAUUAAGACUAAUUGCCAAACCUCACAAUUCAAAUUAUGGAAAGGGAUGCCGUAACCAUAAUUGAAUUCGAGAAUGCAAUUUUACAAUCACUAUCUUCUUAAAAUCUUUCUUAGUGAAAGCAUUUCCUCACAAUCAUUUUCAUGAAGGAGGAAAUCUUAUGACACUUAGAUUUAAACGGUGUAUGUGUUCCUAUCCAUGUGAAUUUGUUAAAACCAAAGUUUACGACAAAUUCAAACUCAUAUGGACCGAACUUUCUUAAUCUUGAUUUCUUGCCUUAUGGUAGCACAGCUGCCCACCAUGUCUUCCAAGUAGUUAAGCAGCUCACCCUUUCCUAUCAAUGUACCUUUCAUUGAUUAAGGUGCUUUGCCUUUUAUGCGUUCAAAAUGAGAACUCAUAGAACUCACAUGCAUAAUUAACUCGAUUGGAUUGGCACAGAAUCAAAAUAAUGUCAACACGAUAGGUUGUAAACCUCAACUCGUGUGCUAGUGAUGAUCGAUAAGGUUUAUUUGAUUUGUUCUUGAAACCUUUCAAGACCAUUAAGACUCCCACUGACUCCUUGACAUAUAAGAUUCUCUUGUCAAUAACCAUUUCUUGACAAACAAAUAUUCAAGAGUUAGUGUAGCUUUUAUCAAAACACUUCAUAAAUUGGUCCUAGUUGGUCUUUGUCUUAUCCAAGACAUCACAACUUUCCACAUUUAAUGAAUGUUAUAAACCUUCUUAAUACUUUUUCACUCAAUGUCACAAUCUUAACUUUAAGACUUGUUUUGGAACGAAGUAUGAUUGACUUUUUGAUUUAACCAUUUCUUCAAUUCUUGAUUCCUCUUCUUAGACAUACAAUUGUACUAAGACUCACUUAGAGGAUCAAUUGAGAUAUGGUUCUUAAUCAUUAAGACCUAUCAUAAAGCAUAAAAGGUACUCUCCCUUCUUCUUAGAAUGGAGAAACUUUUAUCUUUCUGCCUACUUGAUUCUUCUUAUUCGUUCUGCUAUUGAUUUAAACCUUUUCAAUCAAUUCAGAAUUACACUUAAUCUUAUAAGUAUAAUCAUAUUUACUAAACCUUUAGUAAAUCAUGACGAAUAUCUUUGUUACUCUUAUGGUGGACUUGAUCAACACGCAACUUUGUGUACUCGAUCUCCUAGUCCUUCACUUGACACUUUGUCAAUGAAUUAGUCUAAUUUCCAAAUAUGAAAUUUCUCAUUCAUCGUGCAACCAAGUUGCAUGAUUCCAAGUUUCUGUCCAAUUGAAACUUGGGCGAUGAGAAACUCUCCCUAUUUGGUAAAUUCUCGACUUUCCAUAAAUAACAUAAUAAGAACCAAAUCCAUUAUUGCUAAUAAUAGAAACAUUUUAACAUCAAUUUUUCAUACACGCCAUUGUAAGGAUAAAUAAAUAAAAUUUAAAAUCAAAAUUUAUUUUAUUGCGGAAAAAUUUGUCCUUACAAUGCAAUUCAUUGAAAAACUAUGCUAAUACAUCUUUCUUAGCAAUCUAAUUCUAACUCUAAGUAGUAGCUCAAGAAUCUAAUCUUCGAGAAAUGCGAUCGAAAUCCAUUCCUUCACGGUUAGAUUCUGCUCACUUCUUCCCUUAAGCUUCCUUUCUUUUCUUCGAUCCUACAAAACAUCAAUUGUAAUCUUAUCACAUUAUGUAUUAAGAAUCUAGAAUAGAAGCUUAAAAGAGUUAGUUAAUGGAUUUUACCUAUAUUAGAGCCAUACGUUUCGACUCUCCCAUCUCUUAGAUCUCUUAGGUAAAUGGGGCAGCUUCGUCUCCAAUGCCCUUUCUCUUGGCAAUAAAAGCAAAUUGACUCUUUUGGAACAUGACAUGGAACUACUUCAGACAUUGCCUUUCUCUUAUGAUCAAACUUUUCGAUCAUAGCAUGUCUUUCGUUGCCAUUGUCUAUAUCCAUAGAGGUCUUGAAGGCAGAUUCACCAAUCAACUUUGCUUUUCUAUUGCGCCAAACCAUUGCUGAUUCAGCAGCAAUAAGCAUAUAGGUGAGAUCUAUAAGGGUCACGUCGCGGUUCAUCAUAUAGUACUCUCUUACGAACUCACUAUAUGAGUUAGGAAGUGACUGAAGAACCCAAUCAACAGCCAUUUCCUCACAGACAACGGAUCCCAACAUUCUUAACCUAUCAAUGUGUGACUUCAUCCCUAGGACGUGUGCACACACCGACUUUCCUUCUUUAUGUUUACUUGCCAAAAGGGCUUGAGUGAUCUUGAACUUUUCAAGCCUUUGAACUUGUGGGUUAGGGAGAAUAAUUGGAGGAGGUGGAGGAAGUGAAGCAUGAUUUCUUGUUCCUCGAUCGAAUCGUGGAAUAUCAUCUUCAUGUGGAAUGCUUGUUCCACGGGAUUUGGGAAGACCAUAGUUGUCGAACUUUGACAUCUACAAAACGGGAGAAAACGAAUUCAAGUUAGUUGAUUGAUUGAGUCCUUAGUAAAUCACCCAAAUGAGAUACUAAGGCUAGGACCCAACACAAUAUUCUACAACUCGGGAGAGGGAUGCCGUAACCCAAAUUGCAGAACAUUUGAAGGUAAGUGAAUGACGAUUCACUAAUUUCCACCAUGAAAAACGAAAAAGAAAUUUAAGUUUUAAAUCUAUGAAAACUCCUAGAUCCUUUGAGAUUCAUUGAACAUUUCAAUGGCAUGUUUAAAUCUCGAUAUGCCCCUCUUGUUUGUGACUGGGAUGCCGAGGAUCACAAAGCGGGUGUGAAUAACCAUGCAAACUUACAUGGUGCCCUCACAUGUUACAGUCACCUAUUCGAUGUGCCGGUAAACCACACACGCUCCACCGAACUAUGACAAACAUUGAGUCACCCUUUGCUACCUUUGCUUAGAACCAUUUAGUGUGCCGGUAAACCACACACGCUCCACUAACGUCUUCGCAAGGGCACAAAGUGUAAUUUCAUGGAAUUGCAUCAAUUCACUUUUGCCUAAGUAACUAAGAUUGGGAAUUUUAUGAAAACAUUUAGUUACUUUUAUACUUCAUUAUACUUAUAAUGGAAGGUUUCGUCCUAUCCUACCCGUUCGGCUAACGACCCUCCACUAGUCAAGAGUGCGGUGGGUAAGAGUGGAUACCCAUUCAAUCGCCAUUUUAUAGGCAAUUUCCUUAAACACCCCUUAUAGACCAGCUUCGUGAAUGAGGCCUACUAACGGUAAGACUGACUUUUACUCAUACAUAUAUAUAAUGUUAGACUUUUAAUGUUAUAUAUAGUAUAGGGUGUAUUUUAUACUUUCAAAAUAUUAGGUGGUCUAAUUUAACAAUUAUACAUUUAAUUCAAUUAAAUUGUAAACCUAAACUUUUAUGGAUUUAUUAAACUUCUUUUAAUUAUACACCUUAAUUAAUUAAUAAAACCAUAAGGGAGUGAUUUAAACUAUUCCAAACAUUACUAGAUUUUUAGAAUUUAACAUUCCUAAUUAAACUUUUAAUCAACUUUUAAAUUCCAAAACUUGAGGGCAAGUUUUGAAACCCCUUUUUCAAAACAUUAGGGUUUUAACUAUUUAAAUUUCAAAACAACAAAACUUUUGGGGUUCAAAUUUAAACUAUAAAACCUAAAGGGCAAAAUAUGAAACUUUUCAUAACAACAAGGAUCAAAUAACAAAUAAUUCAAACUAACAUUUAAUCACAUAAUUAUC
rnacentral:lncRNA from 1 species